rnacentral:rRNA from 1 species
GACGAACGCUGGCGGCGUGCUUAACACAUGCAAGUCGAACGGAAAGGCCCUGCUUUUGUGGGGUGCUCGAGUGGAGAACGGGUGAGUAACCCGUGAGUACCCUGCAAUUGACUUAGGGAUAACUUCAGGAAACUGGGGCUAAUACCGGAUAGGAGCUACUGCCGCUUGGUGGGGGUUGGACAGUUUAGGCGGUUGGGGAUGGACUCGCGGCUGAUCAGCUUGUUGGUGGGGUAGUGGCUUACCAAGGCUUUGACGGGUAGCCGGCCUGAGAGGGUGACCGGCCACAGUGGGACUGAGAUACGGCCCAGACUCCGACGGGAGGCAGCAGUAGGGAAGAUUGCACAAUGGGCGGAAGCCAGAUGCAGCAACGCCGCGGGCGGGAGAACGGCCUUCGGGUUGUAAACCGAUUUCGCCUGUGACGAAGCGUGAGUGACGGUAAUGGGUAAAGAAGCACCGGCUAACUACGUG